rnacentral:piRNA from 1 species
UACCGGCAUAAAGACGCCACUCG